GUCCAAGUGGCUCAGUUGGCUGGAGUGUGCUCACGGCUAAUAAAGGCGAAGCUUGGGUUCGAUUCCCACGUUGGUUA